UCCUGGGUUGGACACUUGAUGCAGUUUGCCUGUUGCACUCCAAUCAGUUGCCUUGGAUACAAAGUCAAAUAUUCAACCUCUAAAUAGGAUACCUAGGCCUCCUGUUUUACUGCCAGACUCCCUUUUCAGAAGGGUGACAUUCUGUGGGCACUGGAGCAUUGCCCUGAGGCUCCCGUGCUCACUCUGGGGCCAGGUCUGAAACUGCCCUUAGAUGUGCCAUGAAGCCCCUGUCCCCACCUGUCCUGUCCCUGUGCAGAGUGUGAGCAUGGGUUCAGGUUCUGCUAAAGGCACUGAAAUAGAACAGCAUUUCAGGGUCUUGCUCCCUCUCAAGGUUGAGGUCAUUGGAACUGGUCUAAGUAAUGCUCCCUCUGUCAUUUACUGAACAUGGCUCUUCCCAGAUGGUUUUACCAAGAAGCUGUUAGCACAGGAACUGGUCUCCCUUCUUUCUCUUGUAAGGAGAGUUCCUGAAUGUUGUUUACAGCUCCUCUUAAGGUAAAGGGCCAUUAGAGAAAGCAAGAGCUGAGUAAUAGGCCAGCUUUGUACUAACUCAAAUUGAGAGUGGUUUUUUGCUGUUAAGUAACAAUUUUUAAAAGUUGCAAAUCAGAAUUUUCCAGUCAUACCAAUCAGCAUUGAGACCACACUGUUCUACAGUGAAAUAAGGUAUAAGUGAAUCAGCUGAGCUGCAGAGAAGCCUGUAGGAAUUUGCAAAGAUGGUCUGAGCAGUCUGCUCCCUGUUGGGAGCACUCCUCUGUGCAUCUCUGCAUUGUGCCUUGCCCUACACAGAACCUGGAAACUCUCUGACAAGGAACUAUCUUUUCAGUUUAUUUCUGUGCUGUGUGGAGCUUGAUGCUUUUCCGGGGGUCUGGGCCAACACUGCUCAGAGCAGUAACAACUCUCCCUCCUGUUACUAAAUUAGGACUUGAUAUCAUUCUUUCCAGCAAACAAGGGUUCCUAAUCUUUCAGGAGAUUAUGUAUUGGCUGCCACCCCUCUGUACCCCUGCCCUCCCGGGGCACCCCUCUGCCUCAGAUGUCAAGGCACAGCAUCCUUUCCUCCCUUAGUUCUGCUGUAAUUUCUUCUCCAUCUUUCCCCAGGCUGCUGCAGCAGUUUCCCCUCCUGGACCAUUUCCACAGUGCUGUUGUUGCUGUGGCCCUGCUCACCCUUCUCGUUUCAGGUCUCCCUUUCCUGCUUUCUUGAGUUGUAGCUGUUUCUUCCCCUUCCCCACUCCACCUGCAGAGCUCUGCUGUGGAGGCAAUCAGCUACUUAGCAGGGCAGUGCUCAGCUGAACUUUCUGAUGCUGGUGGGGAACUAGUGCAGAAGAUCUUACUGACAGUCUAAAUUUUAAAAAUAUAGAGAUAUUAUCAUGGAAAAUUCAUAGUUCUGAUGGAGCUUCUGAUGGAGGCUCAUUAAAAACAAGCUAAGAAAAUCUCACAUAUAAAUGAAAAGCACAUAGUAGAUCGUGGUGAUAUGCUGAAUAUGAUUGUUUCUUAUUAUGCUAUGGCUGCCCAUUUUAAGAAUAAUACACAGUUAUUUUCUUGGUCUUAAAUGGUAGUGUGGGGAUAUCACAAACCUCUCAAGUAAAAACUUUAAUUAAAAAGCAAACACUAAUCUCCAAGCAGAAGCAUCUGCCGCAUAUUGCAAGAUAAGAUUUCACCAACCUGAAGAACUAAGCACGAUUCUAAUUAAAUCAGGGGAAAAAAAUGAUGAACUAGAUAUACGAUUUAUUUAAGGAUAGCAGUUAUAUAAGAUAUCAAAGAUCUCACGGUUGCUAUCUGAUGGGAAAUGUUGCUGCCAGAUCUCACAGACUAUUUCCAGGGAGUGAAAUCCUUGUUCCACUGGUUCCAAGUACUGUUGUGAUUUUGCAUUCCAUGGGGUCAGGACUUCGUGGUGGCUCUGUUGGACGUGGGAGCCUCAUUGGCCCUGUUGAAAGCUGCAGAUGAUCCAGCAAGGAAGCAACGUGUUCCCUUAUCAUGAGGAACCACCACACUGCGUGAGCUGCUGCUCUUCCAGUGAGGCACCAAUACAGAGUCCUGACUAUUUAUGGUUAUUUAAGGUCCCAGUGCACCUUUUGAAAAUUAAGUCUCUUAAUCCCUGUAUGCUGGCCAAAAUCUAUUUUAAGUGAUGCCACUCAGCAUUUCCUGUAUUGUUCCAGAUGAAGAUUUUUGGCCAUUGCAUCCUGUUUAAACUGCAUGCUGGGCUCCUCUGUUUUGGAGCAGCUGAUAUUUUCCAGAAACACCAUGUUGCACUGAUGUGUGAAGUGAUCUCUGUAUCCCUCCUUGUGCCACAGGAAUGGAAUGAGGAUUAAUCAAUUAUGACCAAAUCAUGCUCCCAGUGAAGUCAAAAGAAGGGUUUCUUUCCAUGGGUAUCAUGGGGGCCAAGGCUGGCUUCUGUUUGGAUGCUAUUGCUUUGAGAUGCCUGCAUGUAAAAACAAAGGAAAAUGCAAAGCAUCACCUUGUUGAAGGUGUCUGUAUAGUGAGAAUUCCUUUAGCUGGAGAUGAAAAUGCAUUUUAACAGCUGUUUCCUCAAGAGUUUAGUUACUUGUCACAGCAGGCAUUAUUGUGUUGGAGGAAAUUCUGGUUUGUUGAAUGUAGCUUUAAGUAUGUGGUGCUGGCUGGCAUUUGUGGCUUUGCAUGUCCUGUGCAUUCAAAAUAUGCUUUGUUAUGCUUCCAGGGCUGGCUCCUGCUCUUUCCCAGAACAGCUCAUGCUGUGGAAUUGUAUCUCAAAAGCCAUGUUCUUAAAUCCAGCUACAGUUGAGCCUUAAAUAUUGGAAAAACAUUGAAUACUGAACAACAAUAGCUGCAGGUUAUUCUCUAUGAACAAGUGUUAAUUAUUUCGGGCAAAGAAACACAAUCUAAAAAAGAGCAAUUCUGGCUAGAUUCCUAGGAGACUGUAAAAUAUUUCUUGCUUAGAUGUUCUGUCACAUACCACUUAUGAUGUCACAUUUAGAACUGUAAAUCCAUUUACAAGUUGGACAAAUGAUAUCACUGAAAAACAUUUUUGGAGGAUCACCUAACUUCUUCCAUGCAAAUAUAAUAAUAGUACAUAUCUUGUGCAAAUAUAGGAAAGAGUGGUCAUGAACUAUUUUGGGAAAAGGGUACUCACCAGAUGGACACAGAAAGAAUAUUCAGUCAGAGAAGCAGAAGAACAGUAAUAAAUAUUAUUACAGGACAGUCUGCAAGGUGGAAAGCUCAAUACUUUUUCCAGACAGUGGUGCAAAAUACAGCUUUUGUGAUGACAAACAGUUUUCUUCACAAAUGAAAAUUAUCCCUGUUUGUGAAAAACACCCAUAGUCCUGGGCCUUGCCAACUUGCAAUCUCUGAGCCAGAUCUGACUUCCCUAACUCAAGAUAUUUUUUACCUUUAACUGGAGGAGGAAAACCUUGUGCUGUGGUGCCCCUCGUGUCUUUAAGAACUCAGGUGAGUUGUUGGGGUACUCACCACUACACCUCAACCAUCAGGUUUUGUAAAUAGGCUUGAAACCCUGUGUGGCUUCGUCCCCACCUGGCACCGUCUGUGCUGCUCAGUGCUUGGAGAAUUCAUCCAGGCAAAGAAUCCACACACCUCAGCCCACGAGAAAAUACAAAAACCUUUGGGUAUUCCUGGAAAUGAAUCAGACCUCUGCUGUGCCCAGGAAAUGUCUUCCCUUUCCAGUUGAACAAGCAAGGGGCUGAUUACAGGUUAAAGUCCACCAAUGAGUGAUGCCCAAAGAAACACAAAGAAUGAGGUAUUUUGCACCAGUCUGAGGUACAAAUUCCCACAAGCAGCCAAGGCAGCAGUUCUGGAAAACAAAAAUGCUCAGAAAUGUCUGGUCUCAGCCUCCCCUUCUCUAUAGAGUUUCCUUGAGAGGGAGACAAUGGGAACACAGUGAUGAGUGACCCUUGGAGGUAGCUGGGGGAUAAGGACCUGCCUGCUGGCACACACUGACCCUGGGAGAAGGGCAGGGGGGAAACAGGAUGACUUGGAGAAGGACAGGCUGAAAAAGGAAAAAUAAACCACAAUUUUCACUACAAUUUCCAGGAACAUCCCACAUUUCCUUCUCAUUCCCUCCACUGGCUCCUGCAAUGAGCCUAGGGGGAUGUUUUCCACCUCCCCAUCUCUUUCUGCCCCCAUGCAGCAGGACCCAGAGCAGACACUGCUGCUGUCCUGGAGAGCCUGACACAGCCAGCACAGCACAGUGGGCAGAUUGGGAAGGCAGCAUUGAAAAUGCCACUCUGUGGUUGCUUGGAAAUGAAAUCCAACUUUAGUAUUAUUUCUGAGCUUAUAUUUUUGAAUCCCAAAUUCCAUCUGACGGAAGAGACGGGUAUUUAAACAGAUGUCUGCAAUUUCUUUAAAAAAUAGAGAUUGAGUUACAGAUGGUAGAAAGGGCCUGAGAAUUAAAAACUCCCGAGCUACAAGGAAAUUUACAUGUGAGCAAAAUGUUUUGCUGAAAUGUAUGGUCAUACAAUUCUGCAUGUUUGAAAAUUAAGCUUUUUUUUCACCAAAAAUGUGAGUAUCUUUUCCCUUCUCCAUUAUCUGUGUCUCUGCUGCAGCCUUGGCUGUCACCAUCAUUGUGACAGCCAAGUUGCAAUAUGAGGGUCCUGUUUCUAACAGACAAGACACACAGUUCUUUCCUUCUCCUUUCUCUUGUAUAAUUUGGCCUGCCAGGACCAACAAUUUUGAUCAGAAUUAGUUUAAAAGAAAACGAAUCUACCCCGUUUGCAUAAUUGGUGCCUGAUUGCUCUAACUCCCAUUUUAUAAAAUGCAAAUAAAAGGAAUUUUAUGAUAUAAGCCUGGAAGGAAACCAGAAUCAAAAUCUGUAUUUGCAGAUGAAAUUGAACCUUUUUUUCUUCUCUGGGGAUUUAAAAAGAAAGCCCCCAAAAUAAAUUUUGAGUGAAAAAGCUGAUAGCUUCUUAAGUGCCAUAUGAAAUGCAAAGCCCUGCAUAUUGGAAAUGAAAAAUUGAACAUAUUUGGUACAGUUUUGAGGAGCAAGUCAGGAUCUAUGUCAUCAUCUGGGAGAUCUGUACAUGCCUUUGAGCAGCCUUAUGAAGAUCUUCACUUAUGCAUGUGUGCUCCAAAAAGCAGUAUUUUUGUGCAUAUGAACAAGUAAAUAGACUCAAAUACAAGCUGUGAGGACACUCACAUGCAGCAGUCACCACCUGCAGAGUCCCAGUCUGUCCCCUGCCAAACCAGCUCGAAUCAGCAUGAUUCCAGAGCAGAGCAGCAAGACCCACUACAUACAGAUGACCAAAGUUAUUUCCUUUACAGCAGAGUGGACAUAAUCAAAGUGUCUACAUCAACGAAAACAUUAAGAAGAAUUGGGAUUAUCUGUUUUUCUUACCUAGUAAGU